GGAGUCCUUGGGCCGGGAGCACUACGGGCCGCCCCAUCCCCAGCUCUCCGCUGCGCUCCCCGCGGGCCGGGACUCACCACGCAUUUCUUGCCGAGGAAGCUGAAGAGGCUCUCGUUCUCCUGCGGGGAUAGGACUGAAGAAGCAUAGGAAGAAAGGAACUAGAGAGGCACAGGAGGAAAACCUGUGAACACAAGUUGUACAAAGCUGUACCGACUUCUCUACAUAUCUCCCAGAAGAAGAACAGAUGGCAACCCCUUCUGCUCUGCUUAUAGGCCCUUUUCCCUGUACUUAACAGACUGUAACUGUGUCCAGAAGUGUAAAGAAGGGAGAAUAUGGUGGAAAAUCCUGAGCUUCCAGCAUAAAAAGAAUUUUAAAUACAUGCAUAUACAGGACUUCUCAACCUGCAGAUCUCGUAGAAGUGGCUUGGGCCUUUGCUGUAAAGGAAGAACAGUAGGAACCAAUGCUUCCAAAAUACAUUUCAGCGAUCCUAGGUUCUCCAGUUUUCAUUCCUUUCUUGUGCAAGUGCAUGCAUAUUUUAGUGGAAGAGGAAAUAUUUUAGCUAAAGAAUAUUGGCAGUAUUUUGCUUACUGAAAAUGUGUGUAAAAAGAUAAAAUACAUGUAAGCACUUUGCAAGAUAUUUGUGUUUUGUGGGAGUUUUAUUUCUUAGUUGUUUUUUUUUUAUUACACAAAACAAACAAUUAUUUUAUAGCCAAAGCUGUUUCAAGGAUAUCUACAUACCUCUGUGGUGAUAAUCAUGUAAAUAGCUAAAAGUACAGUACACCUUUGGUGGGUACAUGCUGGUACUGUCCUCGCCUCUCUGAGCACUUGUGUUCCUUGAUUUUUUGUUUUUUCUUUCUCAUUUCUGUUAGCUUUUACUGUUUGUUCCUUCUUGUGUAGAUCUUGCCAUUCAAAGAGAGUUCUGGGUAUAACGGGUGAUACGUUUUGCUUCAUACUGUUCUUGUCAGACCAGCUGGCUGGUAGUUCUUUGUAAGGGCCCUUUAACCUUCAGGCUCUAUUGUUAGGAUUUAUUUGCUUUUUUUUAAUAGGGGUAGGCAGGAAAGGGAAGAAAAAAGGACUAUUUUCAGACUCUCUAUUUCAUUAAUUAUGCAAAAGCUCUUUCUGUUUUUGUACCAUAGCAAAGCAGUGAGUCCUGAAGGUAAAUGGAACUAUCAGUAUCUGGUGAUAAGUCCAAGCGAUCCACUGAAAAACAGAUUUUUGCCUUUGAUAUUUACAUUUACAGUAGUAUCAGCAAAGAGCUGCUAUUCCUGCAUAAAACAUCCAAUUUCAAGCAAAGCUCUCAAGGAAAGCCACCAGCUGGAAUUAUCUGUGUAUAUUUUGAAGAAAUUGCAGUGUUCUUUCUGAUCUCUCAUAGGGAAAUUGCUGUCAUUGUUUAUCUGAGGCUUUCCUCAGAAUUUCUCACUGUAGUCCUUAGGGUUCAAGCUGUGUUAUCCACCGCUCAUGUCUAAGCUUUAUGGGAGGCUGCUCUUCUGUAUUUUUCCAUUUCAAGAUACCAGCUCGUAGCACCAAGGUACUGAAAUACAUUGGAAGUGACAUAGCAAGUGUAUCAAUAUAAGCAAGUGUAACGAUUUGAAAGAUUUAUAUUAUAAAUACUUAUUUAAUAAACAGGUUUUAUUAUCCUUGUCA